rnacentral:rRNA from 1 species
UACGAAGGGGGCUAGCGUUGUUCGGAAUUACUGGGCGUAAAGCGCACGUAGGCGGCUAUUUAAGUCAGGGGUGAAAUCCCAGAGCUCAACUCUGGAACUGCCUUUGAUACUGGGUAUCUCGAGUAUGGAAGAGGUGAGUGGAAUUCCCGGUGUAGCGGUGAAAUGCGCAGAUAUCGGGAGGAACACCUAUGGCGAAGGCAGCUCGCUGGGACGUUACUGACGCUGAGACGCGAAAGCGUGGGGAGCAAACAGG